AUUGAACGCUGGCGGCAGGCUUAACACAUGCAAGUCGAGCGGGGUGAUGGUGCUUGCACUAUCACUUAGCGGCGGACGGGUGAGUAAUGCUUAGGAAUCUGCCUAUUAGUGGGGGACAACAUCUCGAAAGGGAUGCUAAUACCGCAUACGUCCUACGGGAGAAAGCAGGGGAUCACUUGUGACCUUGCGCUAAUAGAUGAGCCUAAGUCGGAUUAGCUAGUUGGUGGGGUAAAGGCCUACCAAGGCGACGAUCUGUAGCGGGUCUGAGAGGAUGAUCCGCCAGACUGGGACUGAGACACGGCCCAGACUCCUACGGGAGGCAGCAGUGGGGAAUAUUGGACAAUGGGGGGAACCCUGAUCCAGCCAUGCCGCGUGUGUGAAGAAGGCCUUAUGGUUGUAAAGCACUUUAAGCGAGGAGGAGGCUCUUUUGGUUAAUACCCAAGAUGAGUGGACGUUACUCGCAGAAUAAGCACCGGCUAACUCUGUGCCAGCCGCCGCGGUAACAC
rnacentral:rRNA from 1 species